GCCGGGGUAGCUCAGGUGGUUCGAGCGUGGGACUCAUAACCUAGCAAGUGGUUGUGAGUACUGAUCACGAGAUGAUGUGAGAAAUCCCAAGGUCGGGGUUCAACUCCCCGCCCCGGCA
rnacentral:tRNA from 1 species